rnacentral:rRNA from 1 species
AACGAACGCUGGCGGCAGGCCUAACACAUGCAAGUCGAGCGCCCCGCAAGGGGAGCGGCGGACGGGUGAGUAACGCGUGGGAACGUGCCCUUUGCUACGGAAUAGCCUCGGGAAACUGAGAGUAAUACCGUAUGUGCCCUUCGGGGGAAAGAUUUAUCGGCAAAGGAUCGGCCCGCGUUGGAUUAGGUAGUUGGUGGGGUAAUGGCCUACCAAGCCGACGAUCCAUAGCUGGUUUGAGAGGAUGAUCAGCCACACUGGGACUGAGACACGGCCCAGACUCCUACGGGAGGCAGCAGUGGGAAUCUUAGACAAUGGGCGCAAGCCUGAUCUAGCCAUGCCGCGUGAGCGAUGAAGGCCUUAGGGUUGUAAAGCUCUUUCGUGGGGGAAGAUAAUGACUGUACCCCAAGAAGAAGCCCCGGCUAACUCCGUGCCAGCCGCCGCGGUAA